GAAUCACGGAUCUUCACAAUGGUAUGAUAUUGUCCACUUUGAGCAUAAGCUUUCAUGGCUUUGCUUUGGGCUUCACCAAAAUGCCUCAUACUAUUGGAGAUCUAUUCCUUUACAUAUAAAUCCACGAUCUUCCACUAAAUUAACUUAGGUGAGACUCACUCCCAAUAAUCUUCGACAUGCAUUAGACAGACGUACACGUUAUACAUUUUGCCUUUUGUAUGUCUAGCACACUGUAUAUCCACGUGAAAGCACUUCAUCUCUCUCUUAGUGACCCACGAGAAAACAAAUGAAGUGCAUUUUGUGCCUGAUGUUCGGAAAGCUAUGUAAAAACAAGCAUAUAUGUGAAGUAUUAUUUGGCUGCAGUUUUCUGUGAACUAACCAAAGGACUGUGCUGUGACAGCCAAAAUCAAGUUGCCUGAGGAAGCUGCUUGGAAAGCAAACACGUACACCAUGGAUCCAAUUAUUCAUUCUCAUCAGCUCCAUUUUUUAAAAGGAUAAUACAGCUUUCAUUUGAAAGCUUAUAUUUAUUUAUUGCAUCUGCAAUGAUGUGAAGAGUCAAAUCUUUUGAUCUCUUGGUCGAAGCUAUAUGUAUAAACUAGUUGAACUAUGUUCAGGUCGACAAAACUUACAUGGUUGUUUGAACAAUACUUAUACACGGCUUAGUAGGAGCUUCGGUCUAUGUUCUUCGUUGCUCUA